rnacentral:rRNA from 1 species
AUCGAACGCUGGCGGCAUGCCUUACACAUGCAAGUCGAACGGCAGCACGGGAGCAAUCCUGGUGGCGAGUGGCGAACGGGUGAGUAAAGUAUCGGAACGUGCCCAGUCGUGGGGGAUAACGUAGCGAAAGUUACGCUAAUACCGCAUACGAUCUAUGGAUGAAAGCGGGGGAUCGCAAGACCUCGCGCGAUUGGAGCGGCCGAUAUCAGAUUAGGUAGUUGGUGGGGUAAAGGCUCACCAAGCCGACGAUCUGUAGCUGGUCUGAGAGGACGACCAGCCACACUGGAACUGUGACACGGUCCAGACUCCUACGGGAGGCAGCAGUGGGGAACUUUGGACAAUGGACGCAAGUCUGAUCCAGCCAUUCCGCGUGCAGGAUGAAGGCCCUCGGGUUGUAAACUGCUUUUGUACAGAACGAAAAGGCUCUGGUUAAUACCUAGGGCUCAUGACGGUACUGUAAGAAUAAGCACCGGCUAACUACGUGCCAGCCGCCGCCGUAA